GACGUAGGUGGCGAACGUUAUCCGGAAUUAUUGGGCGUAAAGGGUGCGUAGGCGGCACGAUAAGUUAUUGGCGGCAAAUCGAGGCUCAACCUCGUGGAAACUAAUAAUACUGUCUUGCUUGAGUGCAGAAGAGGUUAACGGAACUCCAUGUGGAGCGGUAAAGUGUGUAGAUAUAUGGAAGAACAUCAAUAACGGCGAAGGCAGUUAACUAUUCUGUUACUGACGUUGAGGCACGAAAGCGUGGGGAGCAAAAAGG
rnacentral:rRNA from 1 species